rnacentral:rRNA from 1 species
CGGGUGAGUAAUGUAUGGGGAUCUGCCUGAUGGCGGGGGAUAACUACUGGAAACGGUAGCUAAUACCGCAUAAUGUCUGCGGACCAAAGCGGGGGACCUCCGGGCCUCGCGCCAUCAGAUGAACCCAUAUGGGAUUAGCUAGUAGGUAAGGUAACGGCUUACCUAGGCGACGAUCCCUAGCUGGCCUGAGAGGAUGAUCAGCCACACUGGGACUGAGACACGGCCCAG